CUUUACACCGACUGGAGCAGAGAGAGCCAUCAGCAGGUGAUAGGAUUGGAUCCAAGUCUUGAAUCUUUCCUUCAAAAGGCCAGAGCUUGCAAAGGGUCUGAAUAAAACAUGAGAGCUGACCUGCCACUGUUGGGGCCCACAGUGCUAGGACAUCAUCAUCUGACAACACAGUGCAAGAAAAGCAAGCCUCUCAGUAAAAGACCUGAAAGUAGAGGAGCUACCUCAUCUACUUCUCCUGUGCUGGACUGCUCAUGGCCUUGUUUAUUUUUCAUAUCCAGAGCAGUUAUUUUUCAUAUCCAGAGCAGUUUUGCAUACACCAAGGGGGGACUUCCACCUCUGCUUUGG